rnacentral:rRNA from 1 species
AUGAACGCUAGCUACAGGCUUAACACAUGCAAGUCGAGGGGCAUCAGGAAGAAAGCUUGCUUUCUUUGCUGGCGACCGGCGCACGGGUGAGUAACACGUAUCCAACCUGCCCUUUACUCGGGGAUAGCCUUUCGAAAGAAAGAUUAAUACCCGAUGGCAUAAUGAUUCCGCAUGGUUUCAUUAUUAAAGGAUUCCGGUAAAGGAUGGGGAUGCGUUCCAUUAGGUUGUUGGUGAGGUAACGGCUCACCAAGCCUUCGAUGGAUAGGGGUUCUGAGAGGAAGGUCCCCCACAUUGGAACUGAGACACGGUCCAAACUCCUACGGGAGGCAGCAGUGAGGAAUGUUGGUCAAUGGGCGCUAGCCUGAACCAGCCAAGUAGCGUGAAGGAUGAAGGCUCUAUGGGUCGUAAACUUCUUUUAUAUAAGAAUAAAGUGCAGUAUGUAUACUGUUUUGUAUGUAUUAUAUGAAUAAGGAUCGGCUAACUCCGUGCCAGCAGCCGCGGUAAUACGGAGGAUCCGAGCGUUAUCCGGAUUUAUUGGGUUUAAAGGGAGCGUAGGUGGACUGGUAAGUCAGUUGUGAAAGUUUGCGGCUCAACCGUAAAAUUGCAGUUGAUACUGUCAGUCUUGAGUACAGUAGAGGUGGGCGGAAUUCGUGGUGUAGCGGUGAAAUGCUUAGAUAUCACGAAGAACUCCGAUUGCGAAGGCAGCUCACUGGACUGCAACUGACACUGAUGCUCGAAAGUGUGGGUAUCAAACAGGAUUAGAUACCCUGGUAGUCCACACAGUAAACGAUGAAUACUCGCUGUUUGCGAUAUACAGUAAGCGGCCAAGCGAAAGCAUUAAGUAUUCCACCUGGGGAGUACGCCGGCAACGGUGAAACUCAAAGGAAUUGACGGGGGCCCGCACAAGCGGAGGAACAUGUGGUUUAAUUCGAUGAUACGCGAGGAACCUUACCCGGGCUUAAAUUGCAGUGGAAUGAUGUGGAAACAUGUCAGUGAGCAAUCACCGCUGUGAAGGUGCUGCAUGGUUGUCGUCAGCUCGUGCCGUGAGGUGUCGGCUUAAGUGCCAUAACGAGCGCAACCCUUAUCUUUAGUUACUAACAGGUCAUGCUGAGGACUCUAGAGAGACUGCCGUCGUAAGAUGUGAGGAAGGUGGGGAUGACGUCAAAUCAGCACGGCCCUUACGUCCGGGGCUACACACGUGUUACAAUGGGGGGUACAGAAGGCAGCUAGCGGGUGACCGUAUGCUAAUCCCAAAAUCCUCUCUCAGUUCGGAUCGAAGUCUGCAACCCGACUUCGUGAAGCUGGAUUCGCUAGUAAUCGCGCAUCAGCCACGGCGCGGUGAAUACGUUCCCGGGCCUUGUACACACCGCCCGUCAAGCCAUGGGAGCCGGGGGUACCUGAAGUACGUAACCGCAAGGAUCGUCCUAGGGUAAAACUGGUGACUGGGGCU